GGGCCGGUAGCUCAGCACGGUUAGAGCGCGAGCGGCCAAAGCACCCGGCUUUUAACCGGGGGGUCGCGGGUUCGAAUCCCGCCCGGCCCGCCA
rnacentral:tRNA from 1 species